GGGUCCAUAGCUCAAUGGGAGAGCACACGACUGAAGCUCGUGGUGUCGGGGUUCGAUUCCCCGUGGACCCA
rnacentral:tRNA from 1 species